GCUUUGAUAGUAUAACUAAUUACUUUGGUCUUGUAAACCAAAAAUGAAGCAGUAAGCCUCUCAGAGCAUCAAGAAGGAAGGAUUAACCCCCACCAUCAACACCCAAAGCUGAUAUUCUAUCUAAACUACUUCUUG
rnacentral:tRNA from 1 species